CCCCCGCCCAACACUAUAUAGUUAAUUUGAUAUGAAAAAUCAUCUAUGAAAAUCAUUGAAAAUAAAAAAAUGUUUUCAAUACAUUCUUCUGAGGAUUCGGAUUUAUCAGAAAAAGUAGAAAAUAUAUUUGCUGCUCUGGCAAAAUGCCGGUUUGCCGACAUCUAGAGCGGGCCCUGGUUUCAUUACACAUUUUUUUUGUUUUGGUUUUCCUGAGAAAAAUUCCAUUCUUUUCAGUUUUUUAUAUAAAUACAUAUGCGCUUCUAAUAAUUAUACUCACAUUUUUUGAAUGAAUUCUGCAUAUUUUUCUUGUUAUUUCUAUUAUUCACUUUUUCACAUUGUAUAAAGAAUUAAUUAAAUUCAAUGGUUUUUCAAACUCACUUUUCAGUGUGGCAUUUGUAUGUAUAAAUUUGGGUACCAAGUAUCCAAUGAAUGUAUCCGAUACAUAAUACUUCAGUAUCGGAUACUCAGAAGUAUCCAAGUUGCACAUCCCUAUUUGAUACCCAUAACAAAUUUAAGCCUAAAUACUUACACGGACGGAGGUUCAGCCAGCAGUUUCAUCAGCACCGUCAUCAAUCAAACCUCUCUUCGCCGGUAAAGACCUUGGCGAGUCAUCGAGGUUCAUAUGCCCAAAAGAGGUGGUGAGUGCCAAAAUUUCCUCCUCUUUGAUUUUUUGGCGUCUUGCCUGGAGCACCUUCCUCAAAUUUAGAGGUUGACACUGCACUCGCUGUCGCCAUUCCAUCAUGUUGGACCUUAUCGUAAUCCAUUGGGAUUUCUUAGAAUUCUGACCUUGAAUCGACAUGGUUCCUGCAAUCCCACGAAAAAUUUCGCUCGUAGUCGCCAUGCAAGCAUCCUGGUUCAUUGGAUUUUCUUGCAAUUCUCACCUGGAUUUGACAUGGUUCCUACAAUCCCACCAAAGUUUGUGUGUUUAAGAGAUACCUAGAACGAGCUUUUGAAAACUUACAGUGCAACCCAGGGGAUCUUACUUGAGGGUGUCCGGGUCCGACUUUGCGCAGCUCUCCGAGCAAUAUUUUUUUUUGCCCACCUUCCUUGUGAAGUCGAGGGCUCCGCAAGUCUUGCAACUAAAGUUGCUGUCAUCCCUCCACAUCGAUAUUAAUGUGGGCUUUUUGCCUGUGAAAAAUUAUAGGAGGCUCAUCAGUCUCUUCAGCACCGUCAUCAAUCAAACCUCUCUUCGCCGGUGAAGACCUUGGCGAGUCAUUGAGGUUCAUAUGCCUAAAAGAGGUGGUGAGUGCCAAAAUUUCCUCCUCUUUGAUUUUUUGGCGUCUUGCCUGGAGCACCUUCCUCAAAUUCAGAGGUUGGCACUGCACUCUCUGUCGCCAUUCUAUCAUGUUGGACCUUAUCGUGUUCCAUUGGGAAUGCUCACCUUGAAUCGACAUGGUUCCUGCAAUCCCACGAAAAAUUGUGUGUUUAAGAGGUACUUUAGCACAGAAUUUUUCUCCAGAGUGUCGAGGUCGUUCAAAUCGUGAUGUGGUUAAGACAAGCUCAAGACAAGAAUUGACUGUAUUGCAAAUAAAGGGGCAAUAGAUAGGUUAUUUUGGCCGCAACAUUGAGGCAGCCAAAGCAUCAACCAAAAUCUAUAUUAUAUAAAAGGGGAUCCAAUGGAUAAGGGCAUCACGUUCAAAACACUGCAGCAAAUUGGAAAAUUUUUUCUUGUUGUGUUCAUUACUGUCAUGAGAAGGUUUAUACAAUAACAUAUUUUCGAAAAAAUUGUACGGAAAAGAAAUUCCUCCUACCGAGCGAAUUAGACCUCUCGAAGGAUGUAUUUCGCGUUGCCUUCGAGAAACCUGGACAACUAUGAAUUCGAUCAUUUAUUUUCGCAAUAAAGAGAAUUAAGUAUUCCUUAAUGCUCUUGCAUUAUAUCAAUGAUCCUUAUAAUAAAAUAUAAGAAAGACU